AAUUUGAAAUUUUAUUAGUGUAAAAAUAAUUGAAUUUAAAUAUUUAAAAUUAUAUAUUAAAUUUUAAUAAAUUUAUUUUAUAUUUAAUUAUUCCGGUUGAACUCCGGUUGAAUCCCGAUUGAACCUUUAAACCAUUAAACCAGUCACUUCACUGGUUUAGUGACCGGUUCGGUUUUCGCAACCUUGGUAUUUAAGCCUUUAGGCUUCCUUGAGGGAGCUAUGUGCCUUGUGCUUAGUUACAUGCUAUUGUUGCCAUUAUUGAUCCAAUUCUCUUUUACCUCUUCACUUACUUUCAUCACAAAAAAUUAGAAUAUGAGUUCAUUCUUUGAUGAACAGGCACCAUGUUAUAGAACUCAUUUUUGAGUUAUGGUAAUCAUUUGGAAUUUUUUUAUACUGCAUUUUUUAUUGUUAAAAUAUGAUAAAUUUUUCGUGUCAAGUGGGAGAAAAGAAAGCACAUUAAGAAUGAAAUUUCACAUGAAUUUCACUGGUUAUCCUUCCUCACAAUUUUGCAAACACUCUCCUGCAGCCACUUGCUCUUGAAUGUUUAGGGCUGUUGAUCACCAGUGGGAUGGUGAACUUUUUGCCACAGCUGGCGCCCAAGUAGAUAUAUGGAAUCACAACAGAUCUGAGCCUAUAAACAGUUUUCAGUUGUGCAAGAUUUCAGAGGACUCGUAUGAUUCAUCCCAUGCUAGAACAUUUUAACAGGAUGAUGAUGGUGACAAUGCUUUCCAUAUAGCAGCAGAGACAGCCAAAAUGAUAUGUGAAAAUCCUGACUGGCUCAUUGUUAUGCUAAGGAAUUUCGAUACUGAUAUUGAAGUCAGAAAGCACAGGUAUGUCUAGGCAUUGCAUUUUCAGGACUUGGAUCGUGGUUAGAAGCUUGAAUCGUGCUCUAUUGGGAUUUUGGUGUUUAGGUACACUCUAGCACUUGAUUUCUAUUGGGUUUUGCCCCAAUCAUCAUUGGGUAAGGUUCGGAUUCGGGUUUGUGUUGUUGCUGUUGUUUGCGUUCCAUUGCUGCUGCUAUUCGCGUUUAUAGUUGUAAUUGUACUUCUAUGUAAAGUUUUUAGAAACUGGACGAAAAAUUAGCUGUAAAGAAAUGUACAUAAAAACUCAUAAGAAAAAAGAUGGGUCAUUUGUGACUGACGAAGCAAGGGAUAUAGCGAAACAAAUUGAAGUACUUAUUGCUCAAAAUGAGAAAAAUGAAUCUGGACCAUCCACAAAUGAUGUUAUUGGCAAAGUGUUUGGAGAGGAGCAUUCUGGUAGGGUGCGAUGCAUAAGAUUAGGAGCAACACCUACUAAUACUUUCAGAAAUGUCAAUCAUCCUAGCCAGUUAGCUAAUUCUUCAACUUCAAUGUCAUCUACUGCCAAUUACUUUCAAGCUGAUUUUAAACAUUUGGAAUCUAAAUUUGAUGGGACAUUGACUGCAUUCAAGGCUUAUUUUCUUGCUAAAGAAGGAAGAAUUUCUGUUGAACUUACUAGUAUAUUUGACCAUGGAGCAAGGGAAAAUUGCCUUCUCUUGUCGAUUUUAUGUUGCACUAAUAAUUUUGAAAAUUAUGAUAAAUGAUAACUGUUAUAUUAUGCUAAUGUUCUAGCAUGGUAUUAGUCUCGUAUAUUCUAACCUUACAUCCCUACUAUUACUAAUUUGUUGUUUAAGUUUUUGACACAAGGAAAUGUUAAUUAUUUGAAUUGUCGUUAUAGUGUCAUAGAUGUGACAAUUUUUAUGUUGAUAUUUCUGUUUUUAAUUU